rnacentral:rRNA from 1 species
GAUGAACGCUAGCUACAGGCUUAACACAUGCAAGUCGAGGGGAAACGGCAUUGAGUGCUUGCACUCUUUGGACGUCGACCGGCGCACGGGUGAGUAACGCGUAUCCAACCUUCCCAUUACUGUGGGAUAACCUGCCGAAAGGCAGACUAAUACCGCAUAGUCUUCGAUGACGGCAUUAGAUUUGAAGUAAAGAUUUAUCGGUAAUGGAUGGGGAUGCGUCUGAUUAGCUUGUUGGCGGGGUAACGGCCCACCAAGGCUACGAUCAGUAGGGGUUCUGAGAGGAAGGUCCCCCACAUUGGAACUGAGACACGGUCCAAACUCCUACGGGAGGCAGCAGUGAGGAAUAUUGGUCAAUGGACGGAAGUCUGAACCAGCCAAGUAGCGUGCAGGAUGACGGCCCUAUGGGUUGUAAACUGCUUUUGUAUGGGGAUAAAGUUAGGGACGUGUCCCUAUUUGCAGGUACCAUACGAAUAAGGACCGGCUAAUUCCGUGCCAGCAGCCGCGGUAAUACGGAAGGUCCAGGCGUUAUCCGGAUUUAUUGGGUUUAAAGGGAGCGUAGGCUGGAGAUUAAGUGUGUUGUGAAAUGUAGACGCUCAACGUCUGAAUUGCAGCGCAUACUGGUUUCCUUGAGUACGCACAACGUUGGCGGAAUUCGUCGUGUAGCGGUGAAAUGCUUAGAUAUGACGAAGAACUCCGAUUGCGAAGGCAGCUGACGGGAGCGCAACUGACGCUUAAGCUCGAAGGUGCGGGUAUCAAACAGG